GAACACAGCUAAGGAUGGCCUCCCUUGAGUAUCAAGACGCCAUGCUGAGGGCUUAGGCUCCACCAGCUCUUCUUCCACCCCAUUUUCCACAGUGUUCUUCGAGCUGUAGAGAUACCCAAAAAACCCUAGAUGCUAUCGCCAUUGCUUUUUGUUACCAUCCAGAAUCUGAUGUUAAGACUCUGCAGAAGACUCCACAUGCUUGAGUCAGGGACAUGGAGAA